CGCAGGGGCGGCCCGGCUGGGCUACCAGAAGCGACAGCUUCCUCCGGCACUGAACGUUGGCACUCCAGCGUCCUGACCGGCGGUGGGCUCCGGGUCGCUGAGCGGUGGGCGCGGCGCGAGAACACUUGAAACAAGUAUUCUCGGGAUGGAGAUUGAGUGGCAUCCCUGUUUCUUCUCUCCUAGCUCUUUGGGUGAGAUACUCAGUUCUAGCUCAUUGUUUUGACCUGACACUGGCUCCAUGUCAGGAUCUGUCUGCAUGAUGAUCUACCUGCAUGAUGACAAAGUCCUCAGUUGUUAGAUGCUUAAACAUUACAGCUAGCAAAUAGUGCCUUUUCAAAUUUCUGCCAGAAUUCUUAGAAAGACCCUCUAGCUUCUUAAUUAAAUGGUAGAGUAAGCAAUUAGGAACACUCUCAAAGUUAAAUGACCCUCCAUAUUUCAAAGGGCUGGGGGAAUUUGCCAAGGGAUUGACCCUACCACUUUAACAUUUCUGAUUUUAAAUUCAGGGAAGUAACUGCAGACUAGAAACCUGGGAAAAGAGAUAGCUUUGUUUUUCCAAUGAAGCAUUUCUUUUCCAGCUUUAAUUAAAACAGAUGCCUUGUGUGAAGAUUCUUUUAUUUACAUGGAACACAUCGUGAAAAUGAAGGCUUUAGCUCCCUGAAAAGCCUUUCCUGACCAGGAAAAUGAGGCCAGGCUAACCCAACUUCACUUAAGUCCUUUGAAAUUUUCAAACAUUUCAAGUGCUCUUCAGAAUGCCUUUCAUGCCAAGCUCUAGGUACAGGUCUGCACAAAGCCAAAUGAGCUGCAGGGGAAGUCUAGCCGAUGAUCACUGACCAAUCCUUGAUUUUCAUUCUUGAGUCUGUCCAGAUUCUUCUUUGGGAAGUGGAUUAAUGUUUGCAGAAGCCACUCAAGAUAAGUCUCAGAAGCCAUGGAGCUGACUUGUGAGUGUUCAUCUCGUAGAUCCUCUUAGAGGGUUUGUUGCAUUGUGCCCCAUGCAAUGUUUAACUCUGAAAACUCGUACAGUUCCAUUUUCAAGACAAGCUAGGGUGUGUGAAGAUUUACUUGAAAUGGAUUUUAAGGCUUGUAUUGUCUCUUACAAGUUGAUAGAUGGAUGAGUUUUUUACUCUAGGAAGUAUCUCUUCAAUCUUAAGUAGAUGAUAGGAAAGGCACCUGUUUUCCUUUCUAAGCUUUCUUUUACUCCAGUUCUCUCCAGUUUCACUUUCUGUCAAGCCUAUUUCUUCUGACUCAAGUCUCCAAAUGAAGCAUUGUUAUUUUUCUUGUUGACUCCAAUCAUGUUAGCAUACCACCAGUUACAAUGCAAGAGCUUUGAAAAGUAGGUUCUCUCUUUUACUUUACACAUACAGUAUAAAGUUUUACAUAGAAUGAAUACCAGCAUUUUUGCUCAAAGAUUUAUAGAUCUACCUUUUCAAUCUGAAGUGAUAUAGCAGUCUCAGGAAAUGUUAGUGCUUGUUUCCCAUAUUGCUUUUCUGACAGAACAUGCAUUAAACAGGGUGUUCUCUGCACUUUAAUUGAAAGUGGGUAUUACAGAUCACCCUCAGAAGACUCUAAGUAUGCGUAAGUGCAUACACAGUUGGUAAGAAUUCUCCCUUUCCUACUGAACUUCAAAGAAUGAUUUCAGUUUCUUUUGGUUGGGAAAAAAAAAAAACAGACAAUAUCCCUGAAUGCAGCAUGGUGAAUGCUCCAUAAAUGGUAAAUAUCAGUCAUAAUCUGCCUGAUUUUAAAAAUAUUUUUGAUCUUUAUGAUAUUAAACAUAAAAAUGCCCUUGGGGUUUUCCAAAAUAUUCAGUGUCAAAUUGUGUUUAAAAAGAAGACUGACAGUCAUAAGCAUUUUAAAUACAUGAAAAAUAAGUAGUUUGAUGAUGGCAACUAUCACCAACACUGUGGCAAGUUAUAAUGCUAGGUAAGAAGGGAGUUACCUACAACUUGUAGGAAGACAGCGACUCAAGAAUUCUCUGGAAAUCAUUUAUUUAUGGAGGCAGUGUAUGCUGAUAGAUAAGGAAAAUUGAUGGUUCUGCUAUCCUUGUAAAAAUCUGAAUUGUUAAUUUUAAGUUGUGGAUGUUAUCCGGUUUCUGAGACAUUUUUACUUCUGAAUUGGAAAUUAUUAAAUUCUGAAUUGGAAAUUAUUAAAAUUCAAAACUUUAUUCAAUUGAAACAGAAAUAUAAAACUUUCCCUGGUAUUUAACAAAGAUAACUGACAUUCUGUAUUAGGUACUUCAGAUAUUCCAAGAUAAAAUAUUCAGGUUUGACUUGAAUAAUUUAGAAGCACUCUGACUAACUAGAAAUGUAGUUUAUAGGGACAUCUAUAAAAAUAUUUGUACAAGAUAUAUAUGAUAACAUUGUACUGUUCCCAUAAACUCAUAGAAUAAUGAACUGCAAUGACUGCUUCUUACAUUAAAAAAAGCCUAAUACUAAGUCCCAGUACCCUAGUACUGCCUUUAAUUAGAAUCCAUUUAUACCUACUACACUCCAAAUUUUCCUUAUUUGACUUCCAA